UUAGUUUAAUCUACUACAUCGAAUUACGACAAAUCACGGGACCAAAUUUUGACCAGUGAGUUAGUAAAUAUUAAUUAGUUAAUAUUUACGAGUCUAUUAGAGUGUCGUGUUAAAGUUUGGAUCUAUGAUUUUAAUGUUUGGUUGAUUAAUUAGGUAAAAAUGACUAAAUUGUAAAAGAUAAAUAAUUUAUCGCUAUUAAUUUAAAGGUGUUAAAUGACUAUAGAAGCAUGAUUUGGUGAUUUUAAAUGAUAAUUAGUCAUAUUUUAAAAUAGGUGGAUGA
rnacentral:lncRNA from 1 species